UACGAAGGAUGCAAGCGUUAUCCGGAUUUAUUGGGUUUAAAGGGUGCGUAGGCGGCCUUGUAAGUCAGUGGUGAAAUACGGCAGCUUAACUGUCGAGGUGCCAUUGAUACUGCAGGGCUAGAGUACAGAUGCCGUUGGCGGAAUGUGUCAUGUAGCGGUGAAAUGCAUAGAUAUGACACAGAACACCGAUUGCGAAGGCAGCUGACGAAACUGUAACUGACGCUGAGGCACGAAAGCGUGGGGAUCAAACAGG
rnacentral:rRNA from 1 species